GUGGCUUGCUGUGGUCAGAGUGAAGGUUAGUGUUUGUGGUUCUGUGUUCAGGAGCUGCCUCAACACUGCAGCUGCUCUCUCCCUCACCUCA